ACGUACACUCCUACGGGAGGCAGCAGUGGGGAAUAUUGGACAAUGGGCGCAAGCCUGAUCCAGCCAUGCCGCGUGAGUGAUGAAGGCCCUAGGGUUGUAAAGCUCUUUCACCGGUGAAGAUAAUGACGGUAACCGGAGAAGAAGCCCCGGCUAACUUCGUGCCAGCAGCCGCGGUAAUACGAAGGGGGCUAGCGUUGUUCGGAUUUACUGGGCGUAAAGCGCACGUAGGCGGACUAUUAAGUCAGGGGUGAAAUCCCGGGGCUCAACCCCGGAACUGCCUUUGAUACUGGUAGUCUUGAGUUCGAGAGAGGUGAGUGGAAUUCCGAGUAUAGAGGUGAAAUUCGUAGAUAUUCGGAGGAACACCAGUGGCGAAGGCGGCUCACUGGCUCGAUACUGACGCUGAGGUGCGAAAGCGUGGGGAGCAAACAGGAUUAGAAACCCUAGUAGUCCCAUGA
rnacentral:rRNA from 1 species